rnacentral:lncRNA from 1 species
CUCAUUCGGCUGCAUUAGCUCCGCCUCCGGCAGCUCCAUUCCGCCGCAAGGCCUAAUGGGUCUCGGCCGCGGUCCCCUCUCCCUCAUCUCCCAAUCCGGUUCACUCUACUCCGGUCUAUUCUCCUACUGCCUCCCCAGUUUCAAAUCCUACUACUUCUCCGGUUCACUAAAACUCGGACCAGUCGGUCAACCAAAAGCAAUUCGAACCACCCCACUCCUCCACAACCCACACCGGCCAUCACUCUACUACGUCAACCUAACCGGCAUCAGCGUCGGUCGAGUCCUCGUCCCGAUAUCUCCUG